GUUGAAACACCGUUACCCGUACGAUCACCAAAGUUAAGCAACGUCGAGCCUGAUCAAUAUCUAGAUGGGUGGCCACUUGGGAAUAACAG